rnacentral:rRNA from 1 species
CUACGUGCCAGCAGCCGCGGUAAUACGUAGGUCCCAAGCGUUGUCCGGAUUUAUUGGGCGUAAAGCGAGCGCAGGCGGUUAGAUAAGUCUGAAGUUAAAGGCUGUGGCUUAACCAUAGUACGCUUUGGAAACUGUUUAACUUGAGUGCAAGAGGGGAGAGUGGAAUUCCAUGUGUAGCGGUGAAAUGCGUAGAUAUAUGGAGGAACACCGGUGGCGAAAGCGGCUCUCUGGCUUGUAACUGACGCUGAGGCUCGAAAGCGUGGGGAGCAAACAGGAUUAGAUACCCUGGUAGUCCACGCCGUAAACGAUGAGUGCUAGGUGUUAGACCCUUUCCGGGGUUUAGUGCCGUAGCUAACGCAUUAAGCACUCCGCCUGGGGAGUACGACCGCAAGGUUGAAACUCAAAGGAAUUGACGGGGGCCCGCACAAGCGGUGGAGCAUGUGGCUUAAUUCGAAGCAACGCGAAGAACCUUACCAGGUCUUGACAUCCC